AGAGCGAACGCUGGCGGCAGGCCUAACACAUGCAAGUCGAGCGCUCCGCAAGGAGAGCGGCGCACGGGAGAGUAACGCGUGGGAACCUACCUUUUGGUUCGGAAUAACAUCGGGAAACUGGUGCUAAAUACCGGAUAAGCCCCUUGGGGGAAAGAUUUAUCGCCGAAAGAUGGGCCCGCGUUGGAUUAGCUAGUUGGUGAGGUAAUGGCUCACCAAGGCUACGAUCCAUAGCUGGUCUGAGAGGAUGAUCAGCCUCACUGGGACUGAGACACGGCCCAGACUCCUACGGGAGGCAGCAGUGGGGAAUAUUGGACAAUGGGGGCAACCCUGAUCCAGCCAUGCCGCGUGAAUGAUGAAGGCCUUCGGGUUGUAAAGUUCUUUUGCAGGGGACGAUGAUGACGGUACCCUGAGAAUAAGCUCCGGCUAACUUCGUGCCAGCAGCCGC
rnacentral:rRNA from 1 species